rnacentral:rRNA from 1 species
GGUUGCGAUCAUACCAGCACUAAUGCACCGGAUCCCAUCAGAACUCCGCAGUUAAGGGUGCUUGGGCGAGAGUAGUACUAGGAUGGGUGACCCCCUGGGAAGUCCUCGUGUUGCAACCC